rnacentral:rRNA from 1 species
GAUCCUACGGGACGCAGCAGUGGGGAAUAUUGCACAAUGGGCGAAAGCCUGAUGCAGCGACGCCGCGUGAGUGAAGAAGUAUUUCGGUAUGUAAAGCUCUAUCAGCAGGGAAGAAAAUGACGGUACCUGACUAAGAAGCCCCGGCUAACUACGUGCCAGCAGCCGCGGUAAUACGUAGGGGGCAAGCGUUAUCCGGAUUUACUGGGUGUAAAGGGAGCGUGGACGGCUGUGCAAGUCUGGCGUGAAAGGUAUGGGCUCAACCUGUGGACUGCUUUGGAAACUGUGCGGCUUGAGUGUCGGAGAGG